AUGUUGCGGCAGCUGGCGGACGGGGCCGAAGACGUGCUUGACGAACUGGACUACUUCCGCAUCCAGGACAAGCUCGACAGCACCUACCAUGCAGCCGAUAAGCAUGCCAAGGGCUGCACCCAUGACCUUGCUCUCAAUGCGCGGCACACGGCCAGAGCCGUUGCCAACAAAUUCAAGUUCUCCUCGGGCGGCAACAAGCAGACACCAAAAUUGAAGUUUGAUCGUGUGGAUAUGUCUAAAAGGAUGGCAGACAUUGUACAGAAGCUGGAUCCUAUAUGUGCUAAGGUGAAGGAAAUCCUUGAUCUAGAGCUUCGGAACCCCAAACCUGCCCAAGGCAACAGACCCAAAACCACAUCAGCAAUAAUAGAGCCAGAGUUAUUUGGGAGGAAUGUUCAGAAAAAGAACAUUGUGGAUGACAUUACCCAUGGAAAAUAUUAUGCCAAUGGACUUACCGUGCUUCAAAUUGUUGGCCCAGGGGGUAUCGGGAAGACGACUUUCACACAGCACGUAUAUCAAGAGGUGAAUAGCUUGUUUGAUAUUAUGAUUUGGAUCUGUGUUUCUCUUAAUUUUGAUGCAAAUAGAUUGACACAAGAGAUUGUGAAAAAGAUCCCCAAAGUUAAUGGUGAAAAGGAGAAUGCUGUUGAAGGAGAGCUCAUCGAACAAAGAUUAAAACAUAAGAGAUUCUUGCUAGUUUUGGAUGAUGUGUGGACAUAUCACGAGGAUGAGUGGAAAAAACUGUUAGCUCCGUUCAGAAAAGGAGAGGCAAGAGGUAACAUGGUUAUUAUCACAACUCGAAUCCCAGAGGCAGUAACAAUGGUAAAAACAGUGGAUUAUUCAAUAGAACUCAAUCGCUUAGGAACUGAAGAUUUUAUGCAUUUGUUUGAAGCAUAUGUAUUUGGUCACCAACAGCCAUGGAAAGACUAUCCUGAAUUACUUGAUGUUGGAAGAGCAAUAGUGGGGCAUCUGAAGGGUUUCCCUCUUGCAGCAAAAACUGUAGGUAGGUUACUGAGAAACCAACUUGCAUUGGACAAUUGGACAAGAGUUCUUGAAAGCAAAGAAUGGGAGUUACAAACCAGUGACUAUGACAUUAUGCCAGAUCUAAAGCUUAGUUAUGAUUAUCUCCCUUUCCAUCUACAACAAUGUUUUUCCUAUGGUGCUUUGUUUCCUGAAGAUUAUGAGUUUGGUAGCAAAGAGUUGGUUCAAUUAUGGAUAGGGCUGGAUAUUUUAGAUUCAUGUGAUCAGAGGAAAAGACUUGAAGAUGUUGGGUUGUGCUAUUUAAAUGACUUGGUUAAUCGUGGAUUUUUCAAGAAGAAUGAAAAAGAAGAUGGCAGCUCUUGUUAUGUUAUGCAUGACCUACUGCAUGAGUUGCCAGUGAUGGUCUCCUCAUCAGAGUGUCUUAGCAUAUGUAGUUCUAAUGUGAGAUAUAUACAAUCUUCUCCAUCUGUACGUCAUUUGUCUAUCAUGACAGAUGACGGAGAUGUCAACAAUAGAUUGGCUUUUAAAGAUUUUAAGAGGGAUUUGAGUUUAUUGGGUGAAAAAUUGAAAGCUGGAAACCUAAAACUUUGA
rnacentral:rRNA from 1 species